rnacentral:rRNA from 1 species
UUCGGCCUUAGUGGCGCACGGGUGCGUAACGCGUGGGAAUCUGCCCCUCGGUUCGGAAUAACAGUUGGAAACGACUGCUAAUACCGGAUGAUGACGUAAGUCCAAAGAUUUAUCGCCGAGGGAUGAGCCCGCGUAGGAUUAGCUAGUUGGUGUGGUAAAGGCGCACCAAGGCGACGAUCCUUAGCUGGUCUGAGAGGAUGAUCAGCCACACUGGGACUGAGACACGGCCCAGACUCCUACGGGAGGCAGCAGUGGGGAAUAUUGGACAAUGGGCGAAAGCCUGAUCCAGCAAUGCCGCGUGAGUGAUGAAGGCCUUAGGGUUGUAAAGCUCUUUUACCCGGGAUGAUAAUGACAGUACCGGGAGAAUAAGCUCCGGCUAACUCCGUGCCAGCAGCCGCGGUAAUACGGAGGGAGCUAGCGUUAUUCGGAAUUACUGGGCGUAAAGCGCACGUAGGCGGCUUUGUAAGUUAGAGGUGAAAGCC